rnacentral:ncRNA from 2 species
AAUUAUCGUGGAUCAAUUGGUUCCCCGGCGGCAAAAGGCGUUGGGGAGUAAAUGGGAACGUGACGGGUGGACCCAUUCUGGGCAUCUUCAUCACGGCCGACCCCGCGACUGUAGAGCGGUCAGAAUGCGUCAUGCCGGACGGUGUCCGGCAAAAGCCACUGCGGCGACGGGCUUCACGCCCAUGCCCUGGGAAGGCGAGGCGAAUUCCUUGGUGCCAUGCACCUGACGCCGCGAGCCAGGAAACCUGCCGGUUGAUGAAGGGCAUG